rnacentral:rRNA from 1 species
AUGUCUUCCUCCACGGUACGCAAGCGCCCACCUGCCAUUACCGCCGCCACCGCCAGCUCCGGGGACAUCUCGCCAUGGACGACCCUGCACGGGGAUCUGGUCCGCCUCGUCGGAUGGCGGGUGCUCGCCGGGGACCUACUCGACUACGUCCGCUUCCGUGCCGUCUGCCCGUACUGGCGGUCCAGCACCGUCUGCCCGCGCGGCCACGGAAUCGUUGAUUCGCGGUUUCACACGCGCCGCUGGAUGAUGUUGCCCGAGGGGCACGGGCUCCAUCCCCGUGAAGACGGCAAGAAACGUUUCUUCAACCUGUCCACUGGAGUCUUCGUCCGCCCUCGACUUCCUGUUCUUAGAGACCACUUCGUCCUCUGCCCAGCAGAUGGCAUGCUCCUCGUCCUGCGGCCGCGGACAUACACCCAGGGCGACCAUCCAUGCCUCCUCCAUCCCUUCACGGGCGACGUUGUGGAGCUCCCGGCAGACAUAACUCUCCCAGAAAACUUGGAAAGACGCUUGUUACCAAUCAACGUGUUCGCCGCUGUGAGUACAAGUCCAGAUGGAGUCCUUGGGGUCAUGGUCACGUUUCAGAAUACACCAUUCAUACUCUUUGCUAGCACAAAUGACAAGCGGUGGAGUUUAUGUGCCUUUCCGGGCUUCCGCCCACACCCACAUGCAAGCCCAUUAUCAUUCAAAGGACAACUUUACAUGUUGCAGGAGCAGAUAUCUAGCUCGGAAGUAAAUAUUCUCCGGUUCGACCCACCUUGGCAAGAUCACUCAACGACAUUGGGUUUAGCUUCGUCUUCCUUGUUGUCACCCAAGUUGGUUGCCACAUGUCCCGCGGAUAAGUUCCACUUGCCCGAGCUGGUAGAAUGCGACUCCGAGAUCCUGGUGGUUGGCAAUAAAGAAACUACACAUAUUCUUAUUUACAGAUUAGCGGAUCUUGCCCAAGGAAAGUUUGUCCCAGUAAAAAGCAUCGGAGGAAAUGCUCUUUUGAUUGAUAGUAAAAGGAACCCGAGUUUUAGUUUGUCGGCGGUGCCUACCACCACGGGUGAUACCAUUGUGCUUGCAGAUCGCACCCCUGACAAAUAUAUUUUUCAAUACCACCUCAGCAGCGAUACCUGGUCAUCAAGAGUUGGGGGAUGUGCAGAACAUGGUUGUAGCAUGGAGUGUUGUACUUGUAGCCUCAUUGACCAUAUGUGCAAUACCUGUCGAUGUGUUUCUAAGUGGGACACACGUGGUGGAAUAAUCAGUCCAGCCAGGUGGAAUAAUAAUCAGUUCAUUGCGAACCAUAAUGCAGGUCAUAUCUAG